GACGAACGCUGGCGGCGUGCUUAACACAUGCAAGUCGAACGGUAAGGCCCUUCGGGGUACACGAGUGGCGAACGGGUGAGUAACACGUGGGUGAUCUGCCCUGCACUUCGGGAUAAGCCUGGGAAACUGGGUCUAAUACCGGAUAGGACCACUGCCUGCAUGGGUGGUGGUGGAAAGCUUUUGCGGUGUGGGAUGGGCCCGCGGCCUAUCAGCUUGUUGGUGGGGUGAUGGCCUACCAAGGCGACGACGGGUAGCCGGCCUGAGAGGGUGACCGGCCACACUGGGACUGAGAUACGGCCCAGACUCCUACGGGAGGCAGCAGUGGGGAAUAUUGCACAAUGGGCGCAAGCCUGAUGCAGCGACGCCGCGUGAGGGAUGACGGCCUUCGGGUUGUAAACCUCUUUCAGCACCGACGAAGCGCAAGUGACGGUAGGUGUAGAAGAAGGACCGGCCAACUACGUGCCAGCAGCCGCCGAUA
rnacentral:rRNA from 1 species